ACCAAUGUGUCGGAGAUAACGCCAUACACCUGGCGACAGUGUCAGCGUGCACUGCGCCCGGCCCGCCACAGAAGCUGGUGCGUAAUGGGAAAAGGACAUCCCUGCCGGCCAAACCCUUCCCUAACCCGGACGACGCUGGGCCAAUUGUGUGCCGCCUUGAAUCAAGAAUCUCUAGUGGCACAGCUAGCACUGCACCUCGCUCGCUCUUCUCUCUCUCCUAUCUCUCUCUCUCUCCUAUCUCUCUCUACAGUGCUGCCCUCUGUGAGAAGUUGUUUAUUUUGGGUGGUCCAGUGUGACAACAGUGAGUCGAGGAUAUUUCUGGUUGCGACAACCAAUCAUAUCGCCGUCUGCAACCAAGAAGUAACCAAGAAUUGCACUCGCCAACCAAUCCGAGACGCCAGAGCAACCAAGAAUUGACCAAUGAGGAUAGAGCUAUGGCGGGACCUUUAAACUCUAGUCAAGAGGACCAUGGAAAUGUGUAUUUCCUUUCAGUGAGAUUUACAUAUGCCUUCCCAAGGGAUGGCAACACAUUUUGCCUGAUGUGGACCAUAAGUGGGUGUCCAAGGCAUUGUUCAGGUGGCCGGGGAAUGGGAUUCCAGAGAUGGACUUUGCCAGGGUUGACAAAAUGGGGUGGGAUCGCCCUCCACCACCAUCUGCAGCUCAGUAGAGAUGGAGAGGUACUUUGCCCGUCCUCUGCUGCUCUGGAUGCCCAGGAAGCUCUGGCAGUGGAGCUGAUAGGUUUGGAGUACCUCUUCGAUCAACUGGUUUGGUGCUGCAGGAUUACAAGGCUGCCAUUGAGGAACUGGAGACAGGUGAUCCUGAUGUCCAAGAGGAGGAUGAUGAGGGCUUUGUGGAGCUUGUGGAAGUUCAGGACCUGACAGUUCAGGACCUACCAAUAUCCAGUCCACAGCUUUAUCAGUCAGUCCCCUGUACGGGCUACUCCACCACCUGGGCCUCUGUACUCCACACCUGUGCUCACCAGUCCCCUGUCUUACGUUCCUGUUCGGGCUAACGUUGCUCUUUAGUCCAUGGAUAAUGUAUUGUGUAUUUUGGAGUCACUUAUUGUAAAUAAGAAUAGAAUAUGUUUCUAAACACUUCUACAUUAAUGUGGAUGUUACCAGGAUUACGGAUAGUCCUGAUGAAUUGUGAAUAAUGAGUGAGAAAGUUAUAGACGUACAAAUAUCUCCAAGACAUGCUGUAUGACAAGGGCUAUGUUGAGAGGUAGCUUGAAAGUAAGCAUUUCAUUGCACUGUUUACACCCCACUGUAUUCUGUAUAUAGGAUGAAUAAGAUUUGAUUUAAUUAGAUUUUUGACAGUAAGGAUGCUUGCCAUUUCAGGAGACAUAGUUCUAAAAGAGAGUACACCAGGGCUAUAUCUGCAGAUACAUUCAUCCAGGAGGGCUGUACUGCGCAGAGUUGGCAACCCAGCAACAAGGCACACUUGCUGGGUCAACAUGAGAUGCAGUUCAGCCUUUAGAGGAAGCAGACCUUCAAGUAGGUUGUUGAAAAUGCUCUGUGGUAUGCUGGGUAUUUGGUGGCAUUGAUGAAGAGUGAUGCAAAAAAACAUGCUGCCAAUCAGAUUACUUUGUAGGAGUCCCACCAUCCAGCAUCCAUUCCACACCUCUAACCGCAUCAGUCCUCCGCUCCUGUACGGACUACUCCACCACCAGCUGGGCCUCUGUCCGUGGCCUCGACACCUGUGCCCGGCCUCUGUUCAUGACCUCCACACCUGUGCCGGCCUCUGUUCAUGACCUCCACACCUGUGCCCGGCUGGGCCUCUGUUCAUGACCUCCACACCUGUGCCCGGCUGGGCCUCUGUUCAUGACCUCCACACCUGUGCCCGGCUGGGCCUCUGUUCAUGACCUCCACACCUGUGCCCGGCUGGGCCUCUGUUCAUGACCUCCACACCUGUGCCCGGCUGGGCCUCUGUUCAUGACCUCCACACCUGUGCCCGGCUGGGCCUCUGUUCAUGACCUCCACACCUGUGCCCGGCUGGGCCUCUGUUCAUGACCUCCACACCUGUGCCCGGCUGGGCCUCUGUUCAUGAUCUCCACACCUGUGCCCGGCUGACACUCAGUCAGCUCCGUCUUCUGUUCCUUACGGGCUGGGCCUCAGUCAGCUCAGUCUUCUGUUCCUUACAGGCUGGGCCUCAGUCAGCUCCGUCUUCUGUUCCUUACGGGCUGGGCCUCAGUCAGCUCCGUCUUCUGUUCCUUACAGGCUGGGCCUCAGUCAGCUCCGUCUUCUGUUCCUUACAGGCUGGGCCUCAGUCAGCUCCGUCUUCUGAUCCUUACAGGCUGGGCCUCAGUCAGCUCAGUCUUCUGUUCCUUACAGGCUGGGCCUCAGUCAGCUCCGUCUUCUGUUCCUUACAGGCUGGGCCUCAGUCAGCUCCGUCUUCUGUUCCUUACAGGCUGGGCCUCAGUCAGCUCCGUCUUCUGUUCCUUACAGGCUGGGCCUCAGUCAGCUCCGUCUUCUGUUCCUUACAGGCUGGGCCUCAGUCAGCUCCGUCUUCUGUUCCUUACAGGCUGGGCCUCAGUCAGCUCCGUCUUCUGUUCCUUACAGGCUGGGCAUUCUGAUGGAGCCAGGGAUCAAUCGUUCUUCAUUAUCAGUUAAUUAUAAUUAUUUGUGUUCAAUUGUUUGUCCCUCUGUGGUGUCAAAAGUAUUCUCCUCUUAAAUCACUCUGGGCAUAAAAGCCCUUAGCUGAAUUCUUUAAUUACAUUUUGAUCAAUUAUUAAUGUCAGUCUUUGAAUGCUCCAUUGUAUAAACUAUUUAAUGUUCCUGCUUGUGUGCCGUGUGCACUGAUUUCAAACAGAGUAUAUUUGUCAUUCUCACAUCUUCCUCCAAUUCAAUGUCUUCAAUUACUUGCUUGAUUUACAAUUAAAACAAU